CUAGGGGACCUGUGGCCCACACCGCACCGGAUGUGGUGCGACAGAGGGCUGCUGCCGGGGAAACUCACUUCCCCACCGCUAGUCCGUGGCUCCAAAGCAAGUAAAACAAACUACCGAGGAGGAAGGCAAACAGCUCGUGAGCUCCUCUUGUCUCUCUGUUUGCGAAUGAGAUGGGAAGGUCUGCACAGCUGACACUUCCAGAUGUGGAACCAAAACACAGGCAGCUCCUGACAGUUUACCAGCCUGGGCUAAACUCCAGUAGCACCAGGGCCAGGCCUGUUGUACGGUGAAGGAAGGGCACUGCAGACUCGGGGCAGAGCAGAGACCAUCUCUAGGGCCUGCGUGUCUAGUAGGGGGCCUGACCCCAACAAGCCCUCAUGCGUGUGGAGACGUGAACUGUGCUUGAAUUCAUCCCAUGUUCUUCCCGUCUCCAGCUCGUGGCUGCAAACCAGGUUUAACAGAGCUCCAAUUCAACUCAGGCACUGGGAAGACAGCGAGGGACAAAACCAAGUCCCCGAUCUCAUGGAUCUUUCACUCUAGAAGGACCCUGAGACCCUUCAUUGCCUCUUCUCACUAGAGAAGGAAAGGCGGCGCAUCUGGAGUGAUCUGGAAGGGUCUCCGGCAACAGGACCAAACCGCCUCCAGUCCAAGCUCCUGCCCUGAGAAAAAAGAAACACACCACAGAAGCAGAUGCAGCUCUGGUGCCUAGACUUGGACCUCUGGCCAGUUCCUUAGAAUGUCCUAUCUCCUAACUCAUCUUGGGUGGGCACAGAUGCCAGGGGCCUUAGGCUUUUGGGGUAAGCAGGAACAUGUUGAAUCAAAAGUGUUCCCUUGCGCUAUCUCAUUGCCUCCUAAUAGUGCUCUGACGAGGUAGCUUGCAAGGACACAGAAAUAAAGGUACAGAGCGUUUUCAUGACUCCCUCUCAGUUACCCAACUAGUUGGUCACAUACUUAUAUCUGAAACCCCAGUGUCCUCACACUCUACACAGCCACACACACCCACCUAGAACAUCCUAGCUAUAGGUUUUCCACAUUUGUUAAAGAAAAACAAAGAACUGAGGGUAACUACAUGUCCUCCACAGACAAAUCUGCACCACUCUCUUCAGCCAGGAGGGAGAGAUGUGUUUCGCUCUUCUGCAGGUAACUGCCUGUAGAAUUCUUUCUGCUGGCUGCCCUGUAUUUGCCUGGAAGGUACCAUCUCCUGUCAGUUACCUGUCUGUCAAAGCUGCGACUUCCUUCCUCAGGGUAUUUUUCUGUACAAGCUGCCACUUCUCCUGACCAGUAAAAGUAUCUGCUGAGCCAAACGCCUUCUCCCACUCACCCCACCCAGGCCACAGAGGACCUGCUUGAUCAGACUUGCAGACACCCGAGGAGCAAAUAGAUUCAGCUGGCAUCUGUAGUGAAGCAGAGAUUCAGGGAGCCAAUUCAGAUGAUGUCCCAGAGGGAAAAAAAAAGUCAGGAGACAUGUUCUGAGAUGAGACUCAAGAUAGAGGCAGCUUUCAGCACUGCUUUCAAAAUCUGACACAAGCUGUGCCACAAAGCCUGGCUACUUCACACUGCUGCUGCUGAGCCAGCCGAAAUCUUCCAGCUGUGGUCCCAGGUGGCAUGUUGCACCUCUUAAGGCGAGUCCCACCAAGGCCCCCACCUGACUCUUACACUUAGUUGUAAAAGAAAUAGUUCCCCAAAGUUAAGGGGACUCUGCUUUGGGGGAGAGAUUGAGCCUAUUUUUUUGUUUGUUUGUUUGCUUUUUUGCCUUCAAAUCCUGAGUUUUGGAGUCAGCAGCCCUGCAAUGAAAUCUCGGCUUUGCCACUUAACCAGCUGUGUGACCAGAACAAGUCACUACACUUAUUGAAGCUUUAGGUCCCUUAUCUGCAGAAUAGGAUCAUAAUGUCCCUCUACACAGGACUGCUGGGGGACUGCAGACGUAAUGCUUGUAGUGCUUAGCACAGGGCUGGGCACACAGUAGGUGCUCACUAAAUGGCGGCUCUCAUUCACAUCACCAAAAGGACAGCGGAGGCAGGUGGUACUGCCUCGUGGGCACUGAGAUUCCCCAACCUCAGCCUGCCCGCUGGGUCCAUGGCUGAUGCUCUGAGUGACAGGGUGAAAAUACUAAUUCUUCCCUCCCUUGAUGAAGGGUACCUGCUGCUUGUAUGCGCUCACACUCUCUGGAGAAAGGCUCCCCCCAUAAACACAACCCUUCGUUUGUAAAUUCAGAGGAAGAAAAGUUAACUCCAUCACCGCCUUCAGCAACCUGUUCCAUUCUUUUCACCCCAACUCAAGACCUUUGUGGUGUUUCAGUGACAGGGGAUUGGUUGCCAACCUUGUUGUUCCCUUUGGGCAGGAGAGCCGAGCUCCCCCACCCCUCCUCUCUCCCAUUGUCAAAGACCACCCAGUGAAACUUGCUGGCAAGCUGCCACCGUCCAGACAGGCGACAACUAGGCCUAACUACCCAGCCUCCAUCCCUGCAACAGAAGGCUACAGAACCCAAAGCACCUGACUGUGGGGCUUUCACCUGGAGCUGCUGCGGCUGACACGACGGCAGACCACCAACGGUGUCAAGGAAGGGCUGCAGGUGACUGCUUCCAAGGCCUGCACAUUGGAAGAGCCAUUAGAACCUAACACGUGGCUAAAACACAGUAGAUUUUUAUAUAACUUGUUCACUACAAAACAUCCAUUCAUAAUGACAGAGGUAAACAGCUGUGAAUUUCCAUCAUUUCAUGUGGUCUUACUCGCCAAAGAGGGCACUGUGCUCGCUGAUUGCAGUAUGAAAUCCCCUUCAGGAGGGCACAGGUACAUAAAAAGUAAGCGCUACCA